AGGUUACUGCUAUCGAGGUUCGACUAAGCCAUGCGAGUCGAAUGUAGCAAUACAUGGCGUACUGCUCAGUAACACGUGGACAACCUGCCCUUAGGACGGGUAUAAACCCGGGAAACUGGGUAUAAUUCCCGAUAGAUCUCGUCUGCUGGAAUGCAUCGAGAUCCAAAGCUCCGGCGCCUAAGGAUGGGUCUGCGGCCUAUCAGGUAGUAGUGGGUGUAGCGUACCUACUAGCCUACGACGGGUACGGGUUGUGAGAGCAAGAGCCCGGAGAUGGAUUCUGAGACACGAAUCCAGGCCCUACGGGGUGCAGCAGGCGCGAAAACUUUACAAUGCUGGGAACAGCGAUAAGGGAACCUCGAGUGCCAGGUUACAAAUCUGGCUGUCGUGAUGCCUAAAAAGCAUUAUAUAGCAAGGGCCGGGCAAGACCGGUGCCAGCCGCCGCGGUAACACCGGCGGCUCGAGUGGUAACCGUUAUUAUUGGGUCUAAAGGGUCUGUAGCCGGCCGGAUAAGUCUCUUGGGAAAUCUGGCAGCUCAACUGUCAGGCUUUCAGGGGAUACUGUCUGGCUCGAGGCCGGGAGAGGUGAGAGGUACUUCAGGGGUAGGGGUGAAAUCUUGUAAUCCUUGAAGGACCACCAGUGGCGAAGGCGUCUCACCAGAACGGACCUGACGGCAAGGGACGAAAGCUAGGGGCACGAACCGGAUUAGAUACCCGGGUAGUCCUAGCCGUAAACGAUACUCGCUAGGUGUCGGCCACGGUGCGACCGUUGUCGGUGCCGUAGGGAAGCCGUGAAGCGAGCCACCUGGGAAGUACGGCCGCAAGGCUGAAACUUAAAGGAAUUGGCGGGGG
rnacentral:rRNA from 1 species